rnacentral:rRNA from 1 species
UACGAGGGGGGCAAGCGUUGUUCGGAAUUAUUGGGCGUAAAGGGUGCGUAGGCGGUUUGACAAGUCAUCUGUGAAAUCUAUGGGCUCAACCCAUAGUCUGCAGGCGAAACUGUCGGGCUUGAGUAUGGGAGAGGUGAGUGGAAUUUCCGGUGUAGCGGUGAAAUGCGUAGAUAUCGUUUGGAACGCCGAUGGUGAAAACAGGUCGCUGGGGUUGUGCUGACGCUGAGACACGAAAGCCAGGGGAGCGAACGGG